AACGAACGCUGGCGGCAUGCCUAACACAUGCCAGUCGAACGAGACCUUCGGGUCUAGUGGCGCACGGGUGCGUAACGCGUGGGAACCUGCCCUUAGGUUCGGAAUAACUCCCCGAAAGGGGUGCUAAUACCGGAUAAUGUCUUCGGACCAAAGAUUUAUCGCCUUUGGAUGGGCCCGCGUUGGAUUAGCUAGUUGGUAGGGUAAAAGCCUACCAAGGCGACGAUCCAUAGCUGGUCUGAGAGGAUGAUCAGCCACACUGGGACUGAGACACGGCCCAGACUCCUACGGGAGGCAGCAGUGGGGAAUAUUGGACAAUGGGCGAAAGCCUGAUCCAGCAAUGCCUCGUGAGUGAUGAAGGCCUUAGGGUUGUAAAGCUCUUUUACCCGGGAUGAUAAUGACAGUACCGGGAGAAUAAGCUCCGGCUAACUCCGUG
rnacentral:rRNA from 1 species